rnacentral:rRNA from 1 species
GACGAACGCUGGCGGCGUGCUUAACACAUGCAAGUCGAACGGAAAGGCCCCUUUGGGGGUACUCGAGUGGCGAACGGGUGAGUAACACGUGAGUAACCUGCCCUUGACUUCGGGAUAACUUCAGGAAACUGGGGCUAAUACCGGAUAGGAAUCCUUGCUGCAUGGUGGGGGUUGGAAAGCUUCGGCGGUUUUGGAUGGACUCGCGGCUUAUCAGCUUGUUGGUGGGGUAGUGGCUUACCAAGGCUUUGACGGGUAGCCGGCCUGAGAGGGUGACCGGCCACAUUGGGACUGAGAUACGGCCCAGACUCCUACGGGAGGCAGCAGUGGGGAAUAUUGCACAAUGGGCGGAAGCCUGAUGCAGCAACGCCGCGUGCGGGAUGACGGCCUUCGGGUUGUAAACCGCUUUCGCCUGUGACGAAGCGUGAGUGACGGUAAUGGGUAAAGAAGCACCGGCUAACUACGUG